rnacentral:lncRNA from 1 species
GACUUUGUAUGGCAUCUUUUUGAACUCCCUCAACCGUCCGAGCUUCCAUAAUACCAUCCGGACUUCUCCAAUAAUAAGCUCCCCCAUUCAUCUACCGGACUGCUCCAAAUACUCUCUAGGCUUCACUAUCAGCUGAUUUUCUACAAUGAUCGACUAUUCUCCAAAUCUCUUCCAGACUUCUUCCGGCCACGAACGACUUUACUCCGAACUCCUCCCGAACUCCUAUAGGAGUCAGACUCCGUCCGAACUUCUACAACGGAUGGACUCCAGAUAAAUUUCUAUAAAAGCCAGAUCUCUACCCCA